rnacentral:rRNA from 1 species
ACUUUCAACAAUGGAUCUCUUGGUUCUGGCAUCGAUGAAGAACGCAGCGAAAUGCGAUAAGUAGUGUGAAUUGCAGAAUUCAGUGAAUCAUCGAAUCUUUGAACGCACAUUGCGCCCCUUGGUAUUCCAUGGGGCAUGCCUGUUCGAGCG